GGGCAUGUGGUGUAGUUGGUUAUCACGCUCGCUUAGCAUCAAUCAGUGCCUGCGAGAGGGGUCCGGUUCAAUCCCGGACAUGUCCA